rnacentral:rRNA from 1 species
AGUGAACGCUGGCGGUAGGCCUAACACAUGCAAGUCGAACGGCAGCACAGUAAGAGCUUGCUCUUACGGGUGGCGAGUGGCGGACGGGUGAGGAAUACAUCGGAAUCUACUUUUUCGUGGGGGAUAACGUAGGGAAACUUACGCUAAUACCGCAUACGACCUACGGGUGAAAGCAGGGGAUCUUCGGACCUUGCGCGAUUGAAUGAGCCGAUGUCGGAUUAGCUAGUUGGCGGGGUAAAGGCCCACCAAGGCGGCGAUCCGUAGCUGGUCUGAGAGGAUGAUCGGCGACACUGGAACGGAGACACGGUCCAGACGCCUAAGGGAGGCAGCAGUGGGGAAUAUUGGACAAUGGGCGCAAGCCUGAUCCAGCCAUACCGCGUGGGUGAAGAAGGCCUUCGGGUUGUAAAGCCCUUUUGUUGGGAAAGAAAAGCAGCAGGUUAAUACCCCGCUGUUCUGACGGUACCCAAAGAAUAAGCACCGGCUAACUUCGUG